UACGUAGGGUGCGAGCGUUGUCCGGAAUUAUUGGGCGUAAAGGGCUCGUAGGCGGUCUGUCGCGUCGGGAGUGAAAACUCAGGGCUUAACCCUGAGCCUGCUUCCGAUACGGGCAGACUAGAGGUAUGCAGGGGAGAACGGAAUUCCUGGUGUAGCGGUGGAAUGCGCAGAUAUCAGGAGGAACACCGGUGGCGAAGGCGGUUCUCUGGGCCUUACCUGACGCUGAGGAGCGAAAGCGUGGGGAGCAAACAGG
rnacentral:rRNA from 1 species